rnacentral:misc_RNA from 1 species
GGGCAUGUGACGCGAACAGACCCAUACUGUGCCAUGGUACUAUCCAAGCCUCCGAGCUCCAUUCUGUGUAAUUGCGUGUAAAAGUACGUUGUAUGUCAAAUUUGCGGACGAUCGCAAGAAUUAUUCGUGCUUCACGCACGAGUUUAAGUAAACUUUGUGCAGAGUGCUUUUGAGUAAGAUUCCAUUACAAUUCAACUUUAAAUAUGUUUGGGCAAACCGGAAAUACAUCGUUUAGUGGAUUUAGCACAGGAACACAGAACAGUCUGUUCGGGCAGUCUGCAUUUGGUAAACCUAUUACCACAACAAGUUUCGGUAGUGGCGCAACACCCGUCUUUGGUAGUAGCAAUACUUCACUCUUUAGUUCUAAGCCCACAGGUUCUACUACAGGUGGCUUGUUUGGAAAUACCACAACGCCACCGGCAUUUAGACAGCCAACUAAUACUCAACCAUCCUUCGGAGGCUUUGGGACGACAAAUACAAGCACUAAUCUUUUUGGUACUCAACAAAAUACUGGUACAAAUCUUUUCGGUACGAGUACAGGAACUUCGGCGUUUGGUCAAGCGAACAAGCCUGGUUUCAACUUUGGCACAACAUCUGGAACCAAUCUGUUUGGACAGACACAGCAGAAUGCACAGCAAACUACUCCAUUUGGUCAAACUAAUACUACAAAUACAAAUCUUUUUGGAACAACCACAAAUUUUGGUAAUACCAAUCCUACUACUGUACCAGCUGGUACCGCAGUGAAAUUCACACCUGUCAUCACGACCGAUUCAAUGUCAAAGAAUGGAAUAUCACACAGUAUAUCAGCCCGUCAUUGUUGCAUUGCAUCUAUGAAGGAAUAUGAAAACAAAUCGUACGAAGAAUUACGUUUUGAAGAUUAUCAGCUUGGAAGAAAAGGUCCGCAAACAGGCCUUUUUGGAACAUCAACACAGACAUCGCCGUUCGGUGGCACAACAGCUGGUACUAGCACAGGUGGUACAGGAUUUGGGUCGAUGACUGGAGGAUUCGGUGCCACCAACCAAUCAGGAUCGACCGGACUGUUUGGAAAGCCCAUUAGUAAUUUUGGAUCAUCAGCUACUACGACGACCAACAGUUUUGUAUUCAAUUCUCCGCCCACUACAAAUCUGUUUGGUACUAAUACUCAAACAAAACCAUUUGGUACAGCUGCCCCGACGCCACUUUUUGGAACCCCCAGUACUAAUCAAACUGCUGGAACUGGUUUUGGUAAUAUAAACACUACACAGAAUACAGGAUUUGGAUCUGCAUUUGGUUCCACACAACCUAAUCAGAGUAUUGGAUUGUUUAAUCAAAAUAAAUCCGCUUUCAAUAUUCCAUCGACUUCGACCAGCACUGGCUUUACUGGUUUUGGUCAACCGGCCACUAAUACCACUACAUUAUUUGGUAAUAAAACUACUACUACUGGAUUUGGAGGAACAUCUACGUUUGGUGCAACUGCACCAUCUACAUUCGGAACUAAUACAGGUUUCAAUACUGGUUCCAAUGCUGGGUCUUCAUUGUUUAACUCGUCAUUCAAACCAGCUGGACAAACGCCAGCAUUUUCUUUCGGAACUACACCUGUGUCUUCAACUGGACUUGGUACAAAUACUGGUUUGAGCUUAGGUGGUAAUUCUUCAUUAUUCGGGCAACAAAAGCCAGGCAGUCUGUUCGGAAAUACCGGAAACAAUACGACAUUUAAUAAUCCUGGAUCAUUCGGACCUUCUACUUUUGGAACGAGCUCUAACAUGAUAUCCGGAACAGGAAUUGGUUUACUUAAUGGAGGGAUGACGUCAAAUCAAGCUAAGACAAAUGGUUCAGUACCAGUGCAUCAACAAAUUUUGGCUCUUGUUUCCGCUCCAUUUGGCGAUUCACCAUUAUUGAAGAAUCUUUUACCAGCAUCUGGAAAAACCGAGGAACUGUUAAAACCUACGAAUCCAGCAUCAAAAGUACUGAAUAGUCCGCAAUACAGAGUUACUGCUAAUAACAAAUCUCCGAAGAUCAAAGCGAGAGUCGUCAGUUCUUCACAGCUGUCCAAGAAAUCUUUGUUUGAUGGCCUCGAGGAAGAAGAUCCUGUGAUAACCGAGGCUUUUCAACCCCGGCCAAGCGCGAAACGUUUAGUGUUGCGACCGAAGUCGACGAUAAAUUCCUUGGUUCAAUCACCCACGGAAAAUGGAGAAUCCGUGACAAGAAAUGGUACUAUAGAUGGAGCAGAUAUAUCAAAUGCGAUGCACAGUAAUAAUAUCGAAGUCAAUGACAAAGAAAAUCACAGUCAAGACAAUAAUCGACUUGCGAACGAUCGACGGUCGUCUACAUCUUGGUUGAAGUCAACACUUCCGCGGAAAAAUAAAAUUUUGGAUGAUGAGUUGCUCGAGGGACAGCGAUCGCCCUUUUCUGGAACAAAUGUACCUGAAGAGGUGAAUAAUACGGUGGCCGAAUUGAGAUCACAAAAUAAUAUAUCGAAUCAUUCAGAAACAAUUAAUUCGAUCGAGAUGCCAUUAAAUUCUACUUUUGAUGAGAAAAACUCCGCAAAUCUUACCAUACCAAAUGCAGAAUCUGGUCAGGAGACAGACGAGGGUUCAUUUUCUAUGUUACAAUCAAACUGGAGUAUGAACAUGGCUAAAGUUACAUUACGACGAGUAGGCUAUUAUACCAUUCCGCCGCUUGACAAACUGGACGAUUUUGUUUGCGGCGAGACGUGUAUCGUCCCAAACUUUACCAUUGGCCGCGAGGGUUAUGGCAACGUAUACUUCCCGGAUUCGUUCGAUGUAUAUGGCUUGAAUCUUGAUGAAAUUGUACACUUUCGUCACAAGGAGGUAAUUAUUUAUCCCGAUGACGAGAAGAAACCACCAGUGGGACAAGGUCUGAACAGAAAAGCGCAAGUUACCCUGGACAAAGUGUGGCCGCACGACAAGUCACUGCACGAACCGAUCACGGAUCCGCAGCGACUCGCUGCGAUGAAUUACGAGGGAAAAUUACGCAGAGUUUCUGCUAAACAUGAUACUCGCUUCCUCGAAUAUCGACCAGAAACUGGUUCAUGGGUUUUUAAAGUUGAUCACUUUUCCAAAUACGGUCUCAGCGAUUCGGAUGAGGAUGACAGUCAGGUCUCGCCAACUUCAGACGCAAAGAAACUAAAGGGAUUCUCCGCGUCCGUACAAAAAAGUAAGCCCGUCGAUCCAUCCGCAACAAUGAAUAAGGCGAUUAAUGGAACAAUUAACGGAACGUUCGAUGGCACAAAAAUCGGGAACGGCAAACAACUGAGCAUGGCCGAGAGCAAUUUUUUAGGGAAGACCCCGAUUAAUCGUUUCGGUUACAGUGAUCAUAGUUGUGAGGAGCGAGGAAUGAUCGUCAGCUCGGUCAGAGAAAUCCCAUUUGGUUGUUCUGAUUUCAUUUCUGGGGAUUAUAGUUACGAGAAACGGAUGACCGUCAGUCCGGUCGGCGAUAGCGCCAGAGUCGCUGGUACAGAUAGUCACAAAUUGCAGCUUAUGAAAGCGAGCUUCUUCAACGCGAAUGAUGAAGACGUAAAUGAAGAACCGAGCAACGGAAUAUUUCCUUCUGUACAGAAAACUUUAAUACGUUACUUUUCGAACGUCACGGAAGCUAAAAGCAACCAGGAAGCUCUGUAUACUACCACGGCGUUGCGUACAACUUUUGUCGCAAAUGAAACAUUGUUCUCUACACCACUCUCAGAGAACGUGGCACUUUGCGCGUCAUCAAGUAGAAGAUCGCAUUUGUCUCAUAUUGGCGUUCGAGACAAACAGUCAAUCAUCGAGAAAGCUAUUCUGCCGCCUAUAAUUACGCCAGUUACGAGCGUGUUAAAAUAUCAUUAUGAGGUUGUGCCACUCAAGGAGUCCAGAUUGAACAGGCUACGAUUUCGUUGCGUUGCUGACGCCGGCAUUUACAUGGGUCGAACGUUUCGGCCGAGCUGGGGCACUGGUCUGACGCUGUUGUCGCUGAGUACGCAAGAGCAGGCGACCAAGAUGCAAUUGCGGAGCGCAUUCAGUCAACUGAGUCGUUACGUCUCCGGUCGUCUCGCCGACGAUGUCUCGUCAACAGUGAUUGUUCAACGUCUGCAGAUCUUAGGUGGCGAUGAAUACGACGCAAGAACGUUCAGCGACAGUAUAGAGCGUCAUUUGAGAAUUCAGCUGGAUCACUGCGUGAUGGGCCACGAAGGGGACUGUCCCACAUUUGACGUAGCGACUGAUAGCGCGAAUGAGGCGUUGCAACUACACUGCACAUUGGCGCAAGAUCUUGCAGAAAAGGAGCAGAGACCAUGCGAAAACACCAACGACGAGCAAAUACAAAGUGGCGCCAGCGAAAGAUCGUUCCGUCAAUACGCGAACAUCGUGUGGGCUUUAUGCAUAGCGCUCUGGGGAAGUUACGCCAAUCAGGACACAUUUAAUAAUGCUAACGAAGAACACUACAAUGUUAUGGUAAGGAGAGAGGCUGUAGGCGAAUGGCUGAGAAAUGUAGUGCAAAGAACGGUCGAACGAGAGAUCAAGAGCAUCGACGGCGAAGCGAAGAAUUCCCACGAGAAAAUGAUAUUGUCGCUACUCUCUGCUUACAAACUGGAAGAUGCCUGCCAGGAGGCGCGGAAGGCCGGAGACCACUGUCUGGCGUUGCUGAUGGCGCAACUGCGAAGCGGCGCAACGGUCAAGAAGUUGAUCAAGCAACAGCUCGCACUUUGGCAGGAAACUGACGUGGAUGAAAAUCUUACGAUUGAUCGUCUCAAGUUGUUUAUGCUGGUGGCGGGUGAGCCGCUUAUCUCCAGCAAGCAUGGAACUAUUAAUGUAUGCGAGUAUCUGGACUGGAAGCGCGCUUUUGCCAUCCAUCUAUGGUACCUAUCAUCGCCGACCUGCUCGAUUACUGAUGCCUUAGAUCUCUACGAGGCAUCGUUUAACACAACGGAGGCUCAGGCGUACGCGGCGGUACCCGAACCCGAGUAUAGACAGAAUGACUAUGAUGCUGAGUUAAGUAACGGCAAACGGAUACACGAUCUCUGCUUUCACCUUUUAAAGCUGUACUGUACGGGAAAUCACGAUCUGGGCGAGCUUCUGAAUCCGCUGACAUACACCGCCAAUCCCCUAGAUUACAGAUUGAGUUGGUUGAUGCAACAAACGCUUGUGGCUUUGGGCUACACGCAUCUCUCUGAUCACGUUGCUGCGUUAACGCACACAAAUUUCGCAACUCAACUGGAGGCGCACGGACUCUGGCAUUGGGCGAUCUUUGUGGUAUUGCAUCUACGAGAUUCAUCUAGACGACGGACUGCUGUGCAAGAUCUGUUGUUACGCCAUAUAGAGAUAGAUAAUACUCCAGAAUACGUAAAACGUGAGCAAUUCUUAAAGGAAGAACUUGGUAUAUCAUCAAUUUGGAUUCAUCAGGCUAAAGCCAUCAAAAGUAGUAUCAAUAAAAGAUAUGGCGAAGCAGCUUGGUAUUACAUCCAGGCAGAACAGUGGACUCAAGCCCAUGAAAUUAUUAUAGAGCAUCUGGCAGCCGAUGCUGUAAUAAAUGAAAACUACGAAUAUUUGAAAUCAUUAUUAAGUUCACUAGUAGCAGCCGAAUGUAGCGGCACAAUUAGUGGAUGGUCGCAUCAGGGGCAACUUUUGUGGGAAUAUAUGGAAAUAACCAGCGAGAUCCAGGACCUAUUGAAGUCUGCUCCAGAUUAUUGUGGGCUAACUUAUCAAUUGGAAGCGCUGAAGCCUCGAUUAACAGCCGUCUGUCAGAAAAUUGAUCAAUUCCCAUGUCUAACUGCUAAACACAGAUAAACCUUUUAAAAAAGAAUCAUCACACCUGGGUGGGUCACAGUGACGUAUUUUUCCAACGGCUGCCGAACAGACACUGACGCUCUCCUCCUUUGAAUUGUGCCAGGCUGAAAUUGCAAAGAGAACUUUGCACUUGGCUAGAAAUAUGUUGUUGCUACAGGAAAA